CAACUGGUUACCAUGCCUUACAUAAUGGAGUUAGUAUUUGUGAGUAGAGAGACUUAGGUAACGGAAAUAUAAAUAAGAAUGUUUUAACAUAAUAUGCUAAAAAUAUUUUCAUAUUUAAAUAACAUGCAUAAAACGUUAUGCAUAAUGUGUUUUUUUUAGUUACUAUCUUGCCCUUUAAAAAGCUGAAACUCUUGCCAUCGAACUUACCAAUCAUUAGUGUUCUAAAUGGCAUCUUUGUGCAGAAGACUCAGUUCACUCAUUAGUGUUCACAUACUCAUCGAGUGCCUGCUGGACGCAAGAGACUGAAUUUAUACCCAAUGUUACUUGUGGACCAAGACACCAGUGUCGAAAUACUUUCCCCCUGAAAUGUUAGCAAACACUUAGAAAUACUUCAGGGCAAGUUGUGUGUGUGUGAGCUUAGUUACAGCUUCAUCAGCGGAUGAAGCUUUAAAGCACUUUGUAGUUCUCCAUUGCCAACAAUUUUGUUGCCAAUUCUUGCAACGGUUGCCCUGAGAGAUCUGUGGUUGCAGUGCGAAUUAAAGUUCAGAACGUGUUUGAAAGAUCCCCACGCCCCUUUCCGCUCAGUUGUGACUUCCUUUAAGGCACUUUCCCAUCACACUGUGGAUGUCUGCAUCGUCAUUAGAAGCGUGUUUAGCUUUAGAAGCCCUUGCCGGAUUAUGCAGAUAAGCCUUACUGACAUAAGUGCUUCGUGCAGCAGGUGGUCAAGGAGGACGACUACUAACCCAUUAGGGACCUACAUCGGAUCGUCCCGGAGCCUCUCACCGACAGUACCAUCAUGCGUUGAGUGUUCUUUUCUCCCAAGUGCUAUUCCUUAAACAAGAGUUUACUGGUGGCCUACUACGCAGCAAACGUUCUUUGACACAUCGAACUGCACACAGCAGACUGGUGAGAGGAGACUCAUUCCCUCUAAGAUAACCUUCCCCACGCUCCCAUCCGACGCAGCCUCACACAGAACUGACAGUGUUCCUCCUCAGUAUUUAUUUACACUGUGAAGAUAAUUCUGCUAAACAGAUGGGUACGCUGCGACAUUAAUCCCUCAUGCUGAGGGCUUUAAAAAUAUUUAUAAAGAUGCUGCCCACUAAAAAUGUCCUCAGCUCUGAAAAGUGGUCUUGGUCUUGACUAUACAGUGUUAGCUCUCAUGGUGUUAAACGGAUGAUCCAGAAUUGAGAAUCAGAAGUUGGUGCAAAAGGAGGCCCUACUUGCUCCAUACCUACCUACAGUUGACCAAAAAGUUAUAGGCUAGCAGCUAAUAGUUAGCUUUGCUCUUUCUAGUGUGAGAAACUGCAGGCUGGAUCAGUAGUUCAGCAGCUACAGUCAUAAAAACAGUCAUUGUGCAUGUUAGAACCUUUCAGUGAUGAAACCCAGUUUCCUCUUCUUCACUGUGACAGUAUUACCAAGCAGGUGAGGAAGGGAUUUUGUUACACCGUGUAUAGUGAAUGUAUUGUACCGUGUCUGUGAAAACCCUGCUUUAAAUUAUAUUUUCAUAUGUUUUGUUGGGGACAGAGCACAUUAGGUUUGAAAGCAACAAAACUAUCAGAACUAAAGGCAAUGUACUCACUUUCUGUCAAGAAAAGCUGCUUAAUAAAUGUACAUGAAAUCACAUUUAAAAUAAACUGCCUCUGACCCAAAAUAAA
rnacentral:lncRNA from 1 species